rnacentral:rRNA from 1 species
CCGAGAGCAUACUCAUAUGCUAUCUCUGAAGAUGUCUCGGUCCAACACAUUUUCACGUCCCCCCAUCUGCAGGAAAACUUUCAACUCCCGCUCUCUAUUCAGGCCCGUGAUGAGCUGCGAUCCAUCCAACUUGAAGUGGCCGAAAACACUCUUACGGAGGAACAUGACACCUGGCAGUGUAUUUGGGGCGGCAAUACUUUCCAGACAUCAUCAUACUACAGAUUCUACUUCAGAGAUGUAACUGCCCAUGAAGCCUUCGGUUGGUUAUGGAAAGCAAAGUGUACUCCCAAGCUCAAAACAUUCGGGUGGUUCCUGCUGGUUGAUCGCCUCAAUACCAGAAACAUGCUCAAGAGGAGGCACUACAACAUUGGGACAAACUUUGAUUGCCUCCUCUGUGGCCAACAUGUUGAAGAAACGGUGGAACACCUCUUCUUUCACUGCACAUUUAGUCAGGAAUGCUGGCUACAUCUUGGCUUCAACUGGUCUUUGCAGUGA